rnacentral:rRNA from 1 species
UACGUAGGUCACAAGCGUUGUCCGGAUUUAUUGGGCGUAAAGGGAGCGCAGGCGGUUUGUUAAGUCUGAUGUGAAAGCCCACGGCUUAACCGUGGAGGGUCAUUGGAAACUGGUCGACUUGAGUGCAGAAGAGGGAAGUGGAAUUCCAUGUGUAGCGGUGAAAUGCGUAGAGAUAUGGAGGAACACCAGUGGCGAAGGCGGCUUCCUGGUCUGUAACUGACACUGAGGCGCGAAAGCGUGGGGAGCAAACAGGAUUAGAUACCCGGGUAGU